rnacentral:lncRNA from 1 species
GUGUGUGUGUCACUGGGCAUUGGGCAGUUCUGGCUGGAGAGAUCUCACCUCUGUCUGAACUCCAGGGAGAGAGCGGUCUCUUUAAAGGGUUUCCAUUCCAUUUUGGACAGCUUUAAUUGUUAGCAAGUCCUUCAUUAUAUUGAACUGAAAUCUGUGUCUGCGAGGUUUCCAUUGAUCUUCACAGCGCAAAUGUAGUCCCUCUUCCACGUAACCACCCGCGGAUAUGUGAGUGCCACCCUCCCCCACACCUCCUCCUCUAAACUGUUUUUGGGAACAGUGGAAAGAGGUCCUCUCAAGAUUCCAGGACCCCAAAGCAGCCGACGCUGAGAGGAGGUUGGACGGGGCUUAUGCAGGAGGCGGAAUGUUAAAUCAGGCAUUGUAAACAGCUGCUAGGCAGUGUUUAGAAUGGUGGGCAAGGAAUUCCCUAGGAACCAGCUAAGGAUGGCUCACCAUCCCUGAAUUAUACACUUCCCUGGAACACAGACGUUGCCAUAAGAUGUAAUUGGUCCUGAAAGUGAGGUGAUCCCUUAAAGAUGCCUAUUUCCUCCAGCUAACCUGCCCAAAACCAAUAAAACACAGGCAGAGGAGCCUGAGACAAGUGACUUACGUGUCAAGGGGCAGAGCUAGAAGCAGGACUUGACUUCCUGACUUGAAUAACUGUUCUAAGGCAGCUGCCUAGCAACCACGGCCCCCGUUCAGGAGCAGCUAUCGUGUGAGGAGGCUGGUGCCUGGCUCCCCCACUACGCCACGAACUUCUCAAGGGCAGGACCUGGCUCCUGGUCCUCUGUUUCCCCCCAAGGCCUCACGUGGCACUGGGCCUGCAGAAGACAGAUGCUCAAUAAGGAGCCUGCGUUACAGCUUCCACGGAUGAAGCCGAGCCUGUCUAUGGCUGCUUCGGAUGCAGACUCUGAAGCCAAAGAGGAUUGCAAACAUCCUGGCAUCUGUCCGAAAAGCCUAGUCUAGGGGCACAGAAGGACUUAACUCAGAGCAGAAGAGUUUCAGAGUCUUUGCUAACAGGAGAUUGAGCUGUGAGCUCAGGGCGUUCACCUUAGACGGCUUCUCCCUCUCAGUGUGUACGUUAUUACUUCUGGCAAAUCAUGAAAAACAUGACCUCACAAAGAAACCAGUGAGAGCCAUCAUCUUGAUUCAUCUCUCUCCUUUUCAAUGGGAAAAAACUGGCCUGUGCCUCGAACUUUGCUCAGCAGGAAAUGUUUAUAGAAAUUAGUCGUCAAUCGAGGACUUGUGCAUGUGUGUGCUCUUUGUUUAGAGAAACUCACCAACGCCCUGGACUCACCUCUGGAGGCUCCCGG